rnacentral:rRNA from 1 species
UACGAACCGUGCGAGCGUUGUUCGGAAUCACUGGGCUUAAAGGGCGCGUAGGCGGCCCGCCGCGUCCGGGGUGAAAUCCUCCCGCUCAACGGGAGGACGGCCUCGGAUACGGGCGGGCUGGAGGGGGGUAGGGGCACGCGGAACUGUGGGUGGAGCGGUGAAAUGCUUAGAGAUGACAUAGAACACCAAUUGCGUAGGCAGCUUACUACACGAAUAUUGACGCUGAGGCACGAAGGUCAGGGGAGCAAACGGG